CCGGCCGCAGCGGAACAGCGCUGAUUGGGAAACAUCAUUCCUGGAUACAAUUUCAUUGCAACAAGUUUGGACGGCUGGAAAAUAUAUCCGCUGCCUCAUCCACAAAGAGGUGCUGGAAGAAAAAAAACACUGACUCCUGUUUUCAACUUUCUCUGGCUUUAUUAAAAUCCACAAGAAGAAUGUUUCAGCUUGGGAGCCAGCUGGCCCAGUUUCACUUCUCCACAGGACCCAGUACUGCUAUUGCAGGUGCCACAGGAGACAGUACACAGCCUACCCUAACAGUGCAGGACUUUAUCCAACGUGUCAGGAAACUUGGCGGACUGAAGAAAGAGAACAUUUUCUGCGACCUACGAGUCCCGACCCAGUUUCAAACC